UCCGAGCGCAAGAUGAUAACCAUCUGAGUU
rnacentral:piRNA from 1 species